UUUAAAGAAUGCGAUCGGAGGGAGUGCUAACCGGGCACUGCCGCUCCACAGGAUUUGAGCUUCGCUAAUGCUUUCAAACCUCUCAAGAGAGGAAGAGGGGCGGAGGGAUAUGCGGUCCUCUUGUUGGUACCAUGCUUCAAAAGGAUGGCACCACCCGUUCGACGGAUUGUCAGUGUCGACGAGAGGACCGAGGAUGAGACCUAAAAAUAACCAAUGACUUCGCUUGGCCUCAGUACACACGUCCA
rnacentral:lncRNA from 1 species